rnacentral:rRNA from 1 species
UAUUAUUUUAUGUUAAAAUUUAGUGCCUGAGUAGUAGUAGAAUGGACUUGAAACUCAAAGAAUUUGGCGGUAUUUUAGUCUUUUCAGAGGAACCUGUCCUGUAAUUGAUAGUACACGAUUUUCUUUACUUUUCUUAAUGGUUUAUAUACCGUCGUCAGAAGAUUAUCUUAUGGAGGGUUAUAAAUUUCGUGAUCUUUCAUUUUAGAUUAUGUCAGGUCAAGGUGUAGCUUAUAGAGAAGAAGAGAUGGGUUACAGUAGUGUGAAUUAGUACGGAUGAGAAUCUUGUGAUGUUUCUUGGAAGGUGGAUUUGAUUGUAAAUGUUUCUAUAUUGUUAUUUUGAUUGGAGCUCUAGGAUGUGUACACAUCGCCCGUCGCUCUCGUUAUAAUAUGAG